ACCACCUCUAAUGUAAGAUCAAGUGUAGUAUCUGUUCAUAUCAGUAUAUUACAUUAUACUGACUCUAUUUUUUAGGGGAUGUCCAUACGGUAGCUUGCUAUUGGGAUUCAGGACCUUCAAGCGUCCUCUGGCAUUGCACUACUGUCUUGGCUUGACGCACCCCCA
rnacentral:snRNA from 2 species